rnacentral:sRNA from 20 species
CGCGUUAUAUGCCUUUAUUGUCAUGCCAAUAAUUUAUUGUUGCCGUCUCAUUCUGCGGAAUGAUGUUGUUUAUCGGUAAAACGACAAGCCCGAACGUUGUGUUCGGGCUUUUUUUAUGGACAAA